GAUCCAACAGUUUUGCCAUAUUACUUUUUUAACUCUACGUCAUUUUUAAUCACUUUCUGUUUUAGUUCAUUAAGAACAUAGCAGAAGUCAAUAGUCAUGCUUAGUGGACAGGAAGCACCAGACAUGUCUGUGUUUAUUCGAGCAAGGGCUGCCGCCUAUCCCAUAUUUGAAAGAAUUCAUCAUGGUGCUUCUCUUCCCUAAGGCUCAACGUCCAGCCCCCUAUUAUAAGGUUAAAAUUUUUUGGAACGAUCAUGCAAAGGAGGCUUCAGAUGCAUCAAAUUCACAUGGGAUGGUUCGGACAAAUAAGUAAAAAGACAAGAUUUUCGUGAAGAUUAUAUGCGCUUCAGAAUGUUCAACACUGUGUUAGUUUAAUGGUUAGAAUGUUUAUUACUCAAUGUAAUUUGGGUUGCAUUAGUCUUAUAAA